rnacentral:misc_RNA from 1 species
GAUGAAGAACGUAGCGAAAUGCGAUAAGUAAUGUGAAUUGCAGAAUUCAGUGAAUCAUCGAAUCCUUGAACGCACAUUGCGCCCGCCAGUAUUCUGGCGGGCAUGCCUGUUCGAGCGUCAUUUCAACCAUCAAGCCCCAGGCUUGUGUUGGGGACCUGCGGCUGCCGCAGGCCCUGAAAACCAGUGGCGGGCUCGCUGUCACACCGGGCGUAGUAGAUUUUAUCUCGCUCAGGGCGUGCUGCGGGUUCCGGCCGUUAAAAAGCCUUUUUUACCCAAGGUUGACCUCGGAUCAGGUAGGAAGACCCGCUGAACUUAAGCAUAUCAAUAAGCGGAGGA